rnacentral:lncRNA from 1 species
UGGUAACUUUCUUUCACUUUCUCUCUCUUUUCUCGACUGUUGUGUCAUGUGAUAGAUUCUGUGAAAUGCCAUCACCCCCACUACUUUUUUACUACUACCUACCUUCUCUCUCUCUCUCUCUCUGCGAAAUGCCAUCAUCCCCACUACUUUUUUACUACCUUCUCUCUCUCUCUCUCUCAUCACACCCACACCAACCAGGGCCACCACAAGCCCAAAAUUCUAAAUAUAUCCUUGAAAAAUUAUAAAUAUAAUUCAAACCCCCAUCAUGGACAGAUACUCAGACAACAACAUUACAUCUUGAAAAAAAAGAAAAAAAAUCUCAAAUAAAAAAAAAAAGAAAAAGAAAAAGAAAAAGGGAAAAAGUGGGUGAAAUGAAACAAAGAUAUCUGUGAGUCUCUGCAAGUGGUGCAUGCAAUCAAUUGGGUUUUAUCAGAACAUUUUUAUUGUUUGAUGAUGGCCACACGUUUGAGAUGGGUUUCUCUGAUCAUCACCAUCAUUUGGGUGUGUGUAUUGUUCUUGAUGCUCAAUCAUUUUCUUUUUCCUUUUUUUUACUUUCUUUUUUGCUGAUUUCAUCUGAGUGUUGAAAACCCAAUAAUGGUGUCACAGAAUCCCCACCCUCUUUGUGUUUUUGUUUCAAUCUUUGAUACUGUAUCGUGGCCCGUGGGGGUAGAGAAUACACUUUUUGAAUGUUUGUACCGUUGGAUGGGGUCUUUGUCUUUUGGUUGAUUUGGACUCCUCCUUCCUUUUCUUGCUUUUCAAUCUGCAUUUUUUGGUUACUGUGAUCAGUCAGUGAUGAUUGUUGCAUUCUGAUUCUUCCUUCACAAUUCUAACCCCUCUGCUCUCCACUUUAUGCCAAACUUGCUUUGAUUUUUUUAUUCUGUUUUUGUUUUUGGUCCUCCGAUAUGCUUCAACAUCC